UUUCCGUAGGUGAACCUGCGGAAGGAUCAUUCAUAAUCAGUGUUUUAUGGCACUUUUUUUAAACCCAUACUCACCUUGUGUGCAAUGUCGGGGUUGAUCUUUCUCUCGAGAGGAUCAGCCCCAAACAUCAACAAUAUCUCAACUCUUUGUCUGAUAAAUAUUAUGAAAAAAACAAUUCAAAAUAAAACUUUCAACAACGGAUCUCUUGGCUCUC
rnacentral:misc_RNA from 1 species